rnacentral:rRNA from 1 species
UACGUAGGGUGCGAGCGUUAAUCGGAAUUACUGGGCGUAAAGCGUGCGCAGGCGGUUUUGUAAGACAGCUGUGAAAUCCCCGGGCUUAACCUGGGAACUGCGGUUGUGACUGCAAGACUGGAGUCAGGCAGAGGGGGGUGGAAUUCCACGUGUAGCAGUGAAAUGCGUAGAGAUGUGGAGGAACACCGAUGGCGAAGGCAGCCCCCUGGGCCAUGACUGACGCUCAUGCACGAAAGCGUGGGGAGCAAACAGG